AGAGAGAAUCGUGGUGCAUAAAGAAUAUGUCUCGGCACUGGAUUACAACCAAGUUUAACUGCGUUUCUAGUAAGAAGAAUAAUCUGAAAUCUGAGUAUUGUGAGGCGAUGUGUGAUAGUAAAUAGGAGAGAGAGGGCGAUGUGUGAUAGUAAAUAGGAGAGAGAGGGCGAUGUGUGAUAGUAAAUAGGAGAGAGAGGGCGAUGUGUGAUAGUAAAUAGGAGAGAGAGGGCGAUGUGUGAUAGUAAAUAGGAGAGAGAGGGCGAUGUGUGAUAGUAAAUAGGAGAGAGAGGGCGAUGUGUGAUAGUAAAUAGGAGAGAGGGGGCGAUGUGUGAUAGUAAAUAGGAGAGAGGGGGCGAUGUGUGAUAGUAAAUAGGAGAGAGAGGGCGAUGUGUGAUAGUAAAUAUGUGUGAUAGUAAAUAG